CCUGGGGCUGAAGUAGGUCCCAAGGGUAUGGCUGUUCGCCAUUUAAAGUGGUACGCGAGCUGGGUUUAGAACGUCGUGAGACAGUUCGGUCCCUAUCUGCCGUGGGCGCUGGAGAAUUGAGGGGGGCUGCUCCUAGUACGAGAGGACCGGAGUGGACGCAUCACUGGUGUUCGGGUUGUCAUGCCAAUGGCACUGCCCGGUAGCUAAAUGCGGAAAAGAUAAGUGCUGAAAGCAUCUAAGCACGAAACUUGCCCCGAGAUGAGUUCUCCCUGAGACUUUAAGUCUCCUGAAGGAACGUURAAGACGAYGACGUUGAUAGGUCGGGUGUGUAAGCGCAGCGAUGCGUUGAGCUAACCGAUACUAAUGAACCGUGAGGCUUAACCUU
rnacentral:rRNA from 1 species